AUUGAACGCUGGCGGCAGGCCUAACACAUGCAAGUCGAACGAGUGGCGGACGGGUGAGUAAUGUAUGGGAAACUGCCUGAUGGAGGGGGAUAACUACUGGAAACGGUAGCUAAUACCGCAUACCAUCGGAUGUGCCCAGAUGGGAUUAGCUAGUAGGUGGGGUAACGGCUCACCUAGGCGACUAUCCCUAGCUGGUCUGAGAGGAUGAUCAGCCAAACUGGGACUGAGACACGGUCCAUACUCCUACGGGAGGCAGCAGUGGGGAAUAUUGGACAAUGGGCGCAAGCCUGAUGCAGCCAUGCCGCGUGUGUGAAGAAGGUCUUCGGAUUGUAAAGCACUUUAAGUUGGGAGGCGUUACCAACAGAAGAAGCACCGGCUAACUUCGUGCCAGCCGCCGCGGUAAUAC
rnacentral:rRNA from 1 species